rfam:Frigoribacterium sp. Leaf164 contig_1, whole genome shotgun sequence.
UCUAGUUCCUCGAGUCUGACUCCCAGCCGUCCGCCCUGGCGCACCUUCCCCGGUGCCAGGUCGUGAGGGAUGGGGAUCAGGCCCCGGGAGCCCGAGACC